ensembl:lncRNA
GGGAGGCCUGGCGUGCUGCAAUUCAUGGGGUCGCAAAGAGUCAGACACGACUGAGCGACUGAACUGAACUGAAAACCUGUAGUUUUCAUGGAGUCUUCUCUCAGCCAUGUGUGCUCAGUGUGUUUGACUCUUUGUGACCUCAUAUACUGUAGCCCACCAGGCUCCUCUGUCCAUUGGAUUUUCCAGGCAAGAAUACUAGAGUGGGCUGCCAUUUUUUCCUCCAGGGAUCUUCCCAACCCAGGGCUGGAACCUGUGUCCCCUGCAUCUCUUGUUCUGGCAGACAGAUUCUUUACCACUCUGAGCCAUCUGGGAAGAGCUUCCUCUGUAUCUCCCCAAAUGAGGACAGCGUUCCUGAUCCUUUUUCUCAAUCUCAAAAAAGAGCCACCUGGGUGAUUUCAAUCUGAUUUGCCCUUUGGAAGGGGCUGACUUGCCACAGUCUCCUCUGUCUGCCCUCAAAUGAUGCCAGGCUUGGAGACGCUGCUGGCUCCCACUUGCCACACUUUCAGCUGUUUCCAUGGGCCAACUCAACAAAUACUCACUGAGCUACAGGUUGGAAAUGGCAAUAAAGAAGACCCACUUCCAGCACUAAGAAGCCGCAGCUGACAAUCUGGCAGUGGUGGGACACAGUGGACCCAUCAAUUGCCUAUUAGACACGUGCCUGCCAUAUAUUUUAAUGGGAACCGUAUGUGUGCAGUCCAUGAGUACUUGCUGCUAAGGAAGUGAAGUGCUGAGUCCCACCACCCACCCACAUCUGCGGCUUCACAAGCCACAAGAAAGUGGAAAACAAACACGCCACUGGCAUACCCGGAAACCAUGGAAGUCUGGCAAAAC